ACUAAUGAAAGCUUGAUAUGCAGCUAAAGUUUAUUAUGUGACUUACAUGACUUAACUUGAAAAAUUUAAGUUGCUUGAAGCAUAUGCAAUUCGUGGUCAAGAAGUACCACAUCCCAAGUACAACUUGUGUACAUAUAUAUCUUGCUAUAACUAUAAGCAUGAUGGCAUUGAGAAUGCAUCAAUGGAGAUAUUGAAGAGUU
rnacentral:lncRNA from 1 species